GGCAGCACGGACUUCGGUCUGGUGGCGAGUGGCGAACGGGUGAGUAAUGAUCGGAACGUGCCCGUAGCGGGGGAUAACUACGCGAAAGCGUAGCUAAUACCGCAUACGCCCUACGGGGGAAAGCAGGGGAUCGCAAGACCUUGCACUAUUGGAGCGGCCGAUAUCGGAUUAGCUAGUUGGUGGGGUAACGGCUCACCAAGGCGACGAUCCGUAGCUGGUUUGAGAGGACGACCAGCCACACUGGGACUGAGACACGGCCCAGACUCCUACGGGAGGCAGCAGUGGGGAAUUUUGGACAAUGGGGGAAACCCUGAUCCAGCCAUCCCGCGUGUGCGAUGAAGGCCUUCGGGUUGUAAAGCACUUUUGGCAGGAAAGAAACGUCGCGGGUUAAUACCCUGCGAAACUGACGGUACCUGCAGAAUAAGCACCGGCUAACUACGUGCCAGCAGCCGCGGUAAUACGUAGGGUGCAAGCGUUAAUCGGAAUUACUGGGCGUAAAGCGUGCGCAKGCGGUUCGGAAAGAAAGAUGUGAAAUCCCAGAGCUUAACUUUGGAACUGCAUUUUUAACUACCGGGCUAGAGUGUGUCAGAGGGAGGUGGAAUUCCGCGUGUASCAGUGAAAUGCGUAGAUAUGCGGAGGAACACCGAUGGCGAAGGCAGCCUCCUGGGAUAACACUGACGCUAUGCACGAAAGCGUGGGGGAGCAACAGAUUUAAUACCCUGAGUCCAA
rnacentral:rRNA from 1 species